AUUGGGUUCAGUUGCCUCAACACACUUGGGGCCAGUACUCCACCGCCUCGAUCCGGCCUGUACCCGAACUUUCUGAUUUGGCCCCGUGCUUAAACCUCUGUCCAAACAUAGGUUCAGUUGCCUAAAUCCGCUCUGGUACUUGGAACCCACUCCUACGAUUUGGCUUGUAACCCAACUUUUCCCAAUUGGCCCUGCGCUUAAGUCUCCGUCCAGACAUUGGGUUCAGUCACUUUGGUAUGGUCUGGUGCCUGGACUCAGGCUGUAAACAGAUCUUUCCAAUUUGGCACGGGGCUUAAAUUGAUCAGACCUCAGUUCUCCCUUGCUAUCGGCAACGAACCCACCACCUCAGCUCGCCUCGGUUCUUCCACAUCAAAUUGCUUUCAAGUCCAAAGAAGGAAGUUUCAAGUUCCUGGGUGUCAACAUCUCUGAAGAUCUAUCCUGGGCUCAACAUAUUGAUGCAAUUGCAAAGAAGUGAGAAUGGGAAACACAAAACAAGCCAAUCAGCCGGGUGGAAGGAUCUCGCCUAACCAGCAGGAUUUCACAGCAGAACGAAGAGUUACAACAGAAUAAUGAAAAACGACACACAAAGACUGACAAACAACCAAUGUGCAAAAGAAGACAAACAGUGCAAAUGCAAAAAAAACCCCCACAUAAUAACAAACAAACAAGCAAAUAAAUAAAUAAAUAAUA